ACGCUGGCGGCAGGCCUAACACAUGCAAGUCGAGCGGUAGCACGGGAGAGCUUGCUCUCUGGGUGACGAGCGGCGGACGGGUGAGUAGUGUCUGGGAAACUGCCUGAUGGAGGGGGAUAACUACUGGAAACGGUAGCUAAUACCGCAUGACCUCGCAAGAGCAAAGUGGGGGACCUUCGGGCCUCACGCCAUCGGAUGUGCCCAGAUGGGAUUAGCUAGUAGGUGGGGUAAUGGCUCACCUAGGCGACGAUCCCUAGCUGGUCUGAGAGGAUGACCAGCCACACUGGAACUGAGACACGGUCCAGACUCCUACGGGAGGCAGCAGUGGGGAAUAUUGCACAAUGGGCGCAAGCCUGAUGCAGCCAUGCCGCGUGUGUGAAGAAGCCUUAGGGUUGUAAAGCACUUUCAGCGAGGAGGAAGGCGUUGUAGUUAAUAGCUGCAACGAUUGACGUUACUCGCAGAAGAAGCACCGGCUAACUCCGUGCCAGCAGCCGCGGUAAUACGGGAGGGUGCAAGCGUUAAUCGGAAUUACUGGGGCAUAAAGCGCACGCAGGGCGGUUUGUUAAGUCAGAUGUGAAAUCCCCGAGCCUUAACUUGGGAACUGCAUUUGAAACUGGCCAAGCUAGAGUCUUGUAGAGGGGGGUAGAAUUCCAGGUGUAGCGGUGAAAUGCGUAGAGAUCUGGAGGAAUACCGGUGGCGAGGGCGGCCCCCUGGACAAAGACUGACGCUCAGGUGCGAAAGCGUGGGGAGCAAAC
rnacentral:rRNA from 1 species